UACAGAGGCCUCAAGCGUUAGGCGGAAUCACUGGGCUUAAAGCGUGUGUAGGCGGGUCGUUAAGUACCUUGUGAAAUCCCACGGCUUAACUGUGGAACGGCUUGGUAUACUGGCGAUCUUGAGCCACUUAGGGGCUACCGGAACAGAUGGUGGAGCGGUGAAAUGCGUAGAUAUCUGGAGGAACACCGGUGGCGAAGGCGGCAUCCUGGACCAAUAUUGACGCUGAGGAGCGAAAGCCAGGGGAGCAAACGGG
rnacentral:rRNA from 1 species